CAAAAAUAAAAUACACUUUUUUUUGCAAAGUUUGUAAAAAUCACAGUGUUUGCGAAAGCAAUAGAGAUCUGUGUGAACAUUUCCUCUCCUUAACGUUCAUGUUCCCUUGCAGGUUUUUGGAAGUUCCCAACCUCACCACUGUCUAGCACGCUCUCUCUGCUUCUGCAUAUUUUCUCAUCUGCUGAGGAGCUACAUAUCACAGUAGAUGAGCAAUCCUCAUGACAUCCAGUCUCUCCGGCUCUAUUCCACACUAAGAAUCCUGUAGUGAUUUAGCAUCUUUGUUUGCAAGCUUGGCUUAGGGGCUCAUGUUUGUUAGUGUUUAGCCCUUCUUGAUUUCUUCUUUUGACAAGCCCUUUGACUUGACUGGAUGCAUUGAGGCAGGAGAAUGUGUGCUUACCAGGGCGCCUGGACAUUUUGAAAAGAGAUAUGGUAUUAACAACAGUGAGUUCAUUGCCUUAGGAAACUGCAGUUGCACCUGAGAGAAGACAGAAGCCAACCUGGAAGAAAAAGAAAAGAGAAAUAUAAUGGCCUUGCUAGAGGGAAAGGAAUAUCAGAUUAAUCUAUAUGCUCCGGCUGAUCUCUAAUUGUUUCUUUAAAGGUGAAUUAAAAGCCUUUUUAUUCACAAAGAGCUGAGUUGAGGGCCUUGUACAUCUCCUGUUAGAGUUGAAAACAUCACUGAUAAAGAGUUGCUUUUUCUCUCUUCCCUUAAGUGUCUACUAUUGCAGUGAAAAAUAGAGCACUAA
rnacentral:lncRNA from 1 species